rnacentral:sRNA from 1 species
AGUUCGGAGAAGGGGGUGCAGCUGACCGGGUUGCGCUGCGGGAGAGGGCGGAAGGGCCUGAUGGGGGCGAAGGGGAAUGGGUUGGUAAGAGGGAUUGGAGGAGACCGAUGGGGAAGUGAAGGAUGGGGAAUGGAGGCUGGAGUGGCCGCAGGCCGGAGCCGCGGCAGGAGGACGUAUGGAGACAGCAGGAUGGAGUGCCAGCCUCUCCUGGCUAUCGGGAGGAAUCACGCUCUGCAGCGGGGAAAGAGAAGCAAGGGACAGAGGUCUGGGAAGGUCUGGGAACCAGCCCAAGGCAGGUGCUGUGGAAAAGCUGCAGACCAGCAUGAAGAACAUGGAGAAGGAACUGCUGUGCCCAGUGUGUCAAGAGAUGUACAAGCAGCCACUGGUGCUGCCCUGUACCCACAACGUGUGCCAGGCCUGUGCCCGAGAGGUCUUGGGCCAGCAGGGCUACAUAGGACAUGGUGGGGACCCCAGCUCCGAGCCCACCUCUCCUGCCUCCACCCCUUCCACCCGCAGCCCCCGCCUCUCCCGCAGAACUCUCCCCAAGCCAGACCGCCUGGACCGGCUGCUUAAGUCAGGCUUUGGGACAUAUCCUGGGAGGAAGCGAGGUGCUUUGCACCCCCAAGUGAUCAUGUUCCCGUGCCCAGCCUGCCAAGGUGAUGUGGAGCUUGGGGAGCGGGGUCUGGCAGGGCUUUUCCGGAACCUGACCCUGGAGCGUGUGGUGGAGCGGUACCGCCAGAGUGUGAGUGUGGGAGGCGCCAUCCUGUGCCAGUUGUGCAAGCCCCCACCACUAGAGGCCACCAAGGGCUGCACAGAGUGCCGCGCCACCUUCUGCAAUGAGUGCUUCAAGCUCUUCCACCCCUGGGGCACCCAGAAAGCCCAGCAUGAGCCCACCCUCCCCACCCUCUCCUUCCGACCCAAGGGCCUUAUGUGCCCAGACCACAAGGAAGAGGUGACCCACUACUGCAAGACAUGCCAACGCCUGGUAUGUCAACUCUGCCGGGUGCGGCGCACCCACAGCGGGCACAAGAUCACACCAGUGCUCAGUGCCUACCAGGCCCUCAAGGACAAGCUGACAAAGAGCCUGACAUACAUCCUGGGAAACCAGGACACGGUACAGACCCAGAUCUGUGAGCUGGAGGAGGCUGUGAGGCACACCGAGGUGAGUGGUCAGCAGGCCAAGGAGGAGGUGUCACAGCUGGUGCGGGGGCUGGGGGCUGUGCUGGAGGAGAAGCGGGCAUCACUGCUUCAGGCCAUUGAAGAAUGCCAGCAGGAGCGGCUGGCCCGUCUCAGCGCCCAGAUCCAGGAGCACCGGAGCCUGCUGGAUGGCUCAGGUCUGGUGGGCUAUGCCCAGGAAGUACUUAAGGAAACAGACCAGCCUUGCUUUGUGCAAGCCGCCAAGCAGCUGCACAACAGGAUUGCCCGAGCCACUGAAGCCCUCCAGACGUUCCGGCCAGCUGCCAGCUCCUCCUUCCGCCAUUGCCAGCUCGACGUGGGACGUGAGAUGAAGCUGCUGACAGAGCUUAACUUCCUGCGAGGCUGUGGCCACCGCGGACUCUGCUCCGGAGCACCCCAGUGCCUGAGGCCCCCGUCAUUGACACCCAGCGCACCUUUGCCUAUGAUCAGAUCUUCCUGUGCUGGCGGCUGCCCCCCCACUCACCACCUGCCUGGCACUAUACCGUUGAGUUCCGGCGCACGGAUGUGCCUGCCCAGCCGGGCCCCACCCGCUGGCAGCGGCGGGAGGAGGUGAGGGGCACCAGUGCCCUGCUUGAGAACCCCGACACGGGCUCUGUGUAUGUGCUGCGCGUCCGCGGCUGCAACAAGGCUGGCUACGGCGAGUACAGUGAAGAUGUGCACCUGCACACGCCCCCAGCACCUGUCCUGCACUUCUUCCUCGACGGCCGCUGGGGUGCAAGCCGAGAGCGGCUGGCUAUCAGCAAGGACCAGCGAGCAGUACGGAGUGUUCCGGGGCUGCCCCUGCUGCUGGCUGCUGACCGGCUGCUGACCGGCUGCCACCUGAGUGUGGAUGUGGUCCUGGGCGACGUGGCUGUGACCCAGGGCCGCAGCUACUGGGCCUGCGCCGUAGACCCAGCCUCCUACUUGGUCAAGGUGGGCGUCGGGCUGGAGAGCAAGCUUCAAGAAAGUUUCCAGGGUGCCCCUGAUGUGAUCAGCCCCAGGUACGACCCGGACAGUGGGCACGACAGCGGUGCCGAGGAUGCCACAGUGGAGGCGUCGCCGCCCUUCGCUUUCCUAACCAUUGGCAUGGGCAAGAUCCUGCUGGGGUCGGGGGCAAACUCAAACGCAGGGCUGACAGGGAGGGAUGGCCCCACAGCCGGCUGCACAGUGCCCCUGCCACCCCGCCUGGGCAUCUGCCUGGACUAUGAGCGGGGCCGGGUUUCCUUCCUGGAUGCCGUGUCCUUCCGUGGGCUCUUGGAGUGCCCCCUGGACUGCUCAGGGCCUGUGUGCCCUGCCUUUUGCUUCAUCGGGGGUGGCGCAGUACAGCUCCAGGAGCCAGUGGGCACUAAGCCUGAGAGGAAAGUCACCAUUGGGGGCUUCGCCAAGCUGGACUGAGCCUUCCAGGCUCCUCGUGCAGACCUGGGGUCCUCCUGGGCCCUGGCCCCCAAACCUCUUGGCGCCCAGUUGUUACCCCCUGGCAGCUUCUCCCUCAAACUCUCUUACCAUGUGGUCCUGCCCCUUCUCCCGUGUCUGUCUUCCCACAGUUUUCUCUUGACCCAGGGGCUCUCUUCUGUCCACACCUCUCUGGAUGGCCCCCGUUCUCUCCAUUGCUUGUUAGCCAGGCCCCCACCCCCACUGAAUCUGCCCUCUGACCUGCCUUUGGCAUGUUACCCAAGCCAUGGAGAGAGCCCCUUCUCCAUCCCUGUCCUGUGCCCCCCAGGCUGAUUGGGAGGGAGGGCACCUAGAACACUGGGCAUGAUCUCCAGCUCUGCCCUUGCCCUGCCAAGCUCCCUGCCCUGUUGAUGCUGAAUUACAGCCUUGGGACAGGCAGGCUUUGGGGCUGGACGCUGUCCAGGCAUUCCUGGUGAGGGGAAGGGGACCCUGUCAUCCUGCUUUAUUUAUUUGGGUCCCAACACACCACAGCCGCAUGCCCCUUAUGUCCCUCUUCUCCCUCUUGCAUGCUUUACCUGUCCCGCACCCAUGCCAAUGUGCCAAGUCUCCCUUGGGGACCCAGCUGAGUCUGGGUGUUCCCAUUGGGUUGGGCCAGGCAAGGCCUCUGGUACCCGCUGCCGUCCCCCUGCAGUGGGCUCUGCUAGGCCUGUGCCGAGCAACAGCUGUUAUUGUCAUGGUUUAUAAACAAUAAACUGUGAUGCCAGGC